GUGAUAGACAUCAUGUAAUUUGGUUUAAAAUGAAAGUGGAAAAAUCCAUCAGUCACUUGACUAUUUAGUUUUUACCAAUUUACAAAAUUGAACAUUUGGGGAAAUGUUUUUAACCCAAAUUUCUUUGGCAUAGUGCUGAUUCGCAGUCACACUUGGUGGCUACUUUUUGAUAAUUUGGGGGUCUUCUUACAGGAUGAUAUUGCACUUCACAUGUAUUGUGUUUUUUACCAAGCGAAGGAGACACAAUAGUAUUGAAAUUAGGCCAAUUAACAACCCCAUAAUGGCCUCUAAGUGUUCAAGUAAAAGAAAGAGUUGCACAUCUCUCACUUUAAAUCAAAAUCGAGAAAUGAUGAAGCUUCGUGAAGGCAUGUCAAAAACCAACAUAGGCCCAAAGCAGGGCCUCUUGUACCAAACAGUCAAGUCGUGAAUGCAAAGGAAAAAUUAUUGAAGGAAAUUAAAAGUGCUACUCCAGUGAACACAGGAAUGCCACCCCCACCUUCAGCAACCAGCCCCCUGGAUCACCCAGCAGCCAACAUUGAGGCAAGACCCUCCACCAACAAAAAGAUUACAACUCGCUGGAGAUUCCGAUGAUUGUUAGCAUUUUCAGCAAUAAAGUAUUUUUAAUUAA